CCUACGGGAGGCAGCAGUGGGGAAUUUUGCGCAAUGCGCGUAAGCCUGACGCAGCAACGCCGCGUGAAUGAAGAAGGCCUUCGGGUCGUAAAGUUCUUUCGACAGGGAAGAAAAUGCCUAUAAGUAACUAUGUAUGUAUUGCCGGUACCUGGAUACGCGCCGCCGGCUUACUAAGUGCCAGCAGCCGCGGUAAUACGGAGGGGGCGAGCGGUGUUCGGAUUUAUUGGGUUUAAAGGGAGCGUAGGCCGCAUGUCAAGCCUGCUGUGAAAUGUCCGGGCUCAACCCGUGCCUUGCAUGGCGAACUGGGGUGCUUGAGUGCGCGGAAGGCAGGCGGAAUUCGUGGUGUAGCGGUGAAAUGCGGAGAUAUUACGAAGAACCCCGAUGGCGAAGGCAGCUUGCUGGAGAGGAACUGACGCUGAGGCUCGAAAGCGUGGGGAUCGAACAGGAUUAGAUACCCGAGUAGUC
rnacentral:rRNA from 1 species